GUUUACGCAAUGUUGCAAGAGCAGAGUUUUCAUCAACGAACUCAAAGAUGAACCCUUUCUAGUUUUCAACGGUAAUGUUUUUCCAAUUCUUCUGCUUUCUUGAUUGAUCAAAGGAGUUCUUUCCCAAGACCCUGUUUGGUAGUACCCAUUUUUUCAUUUUUGAUCGUUCAAGAACAUUCAAUCUUCUGCUUAAAAAAAAGGUACAAUCUUUUACCCAUUUUUCUAAUUUCUUGAAUAUUUAAGAACAUUCAAUCUUCUGCUUGAGAAAAAAGUUUGAAUCUUUUACCCUUUUUUUCUCAUUUCUUAAAUAUUCAAGAACAUUCAAUCUUCUGCUUGAGAAAAAAGUUUGAAUCUUUUACCCAUUUCUUGAAUAUUCAAGAGCAUUCAAUCUUCUGAUUGAGAAAAAAGUUUGAAUCUUUUACCCAUUUUUCUCAUUUCUUGAAUAUGCAAGAACAUUCAAUCUUCUGCUUGAGAAAUUAAAAAAAAAAAACCUUAAUUGAACAAAUGUGUGCUAUGUCUGAAACCCUAUUUUGCAUCAAUGUUUUGAAACUCAAUUUGUUUAGAUGCAUAUGUUGUGAUACUGAUUUUUUGUUCAUUCUUGAUAAUUGAAGAAUAUUCAAUCUUCUGCAUGAAAAAAACCCUUAAUUGAGUAAACAUGUUGUGUCCUAAAACCCUAUAUAUUUUGAAAGACAAUUUUUUUGUUUGUUACAUAAUGGAUUUUUGCACAUUUUGGAAUUUUUAUUCCAACAUAUUUGCAUAUUAGCAUUUUGAACUCUGUAUUCAUGAUGCAAAAGUUGGAUGAUGGCUUUCAAUGCAAUUUUCAUAGGAAAUUGUAAUCAUGUGAUUAAGGGAUGGUAUCUAAUGUCGCUGAGAUGGAAUAUUUUUAUGACCCUAAUAUUGAAAUUGUCGCUGAGAUGAAAUAUUUAUUUCAUUAUCUAUGAAGGGUGGUGUGGUAUACAUGAGCCCAAAAAUGUUGGAUGAUGCCUUAAUGCGAAAGUUAAUUGUUGCCUAAAAUGCAAUUUUAAUAUGAAAUUUUAUUCAUAAUUUAAGGCUUGGAUGAUAUCUAUGGUGCUUUGAUGACCUUAGUCCCUAAAUGCAAUUUUGCAAAUGCAAAAUGGAUUUUGGUAUGGUAUUUAAUGUCGCUGAAAUGGACUAUUUUUAUGACCCUAAUAGUGAAAUUGUGGCUGAGAUGAAAUAUUUUUUUCAUUAUCUAUGAAGUGUGGUUUGGUAUAUAUGAUCCCUAAAACGUUGGAUGAUGCCUUAAUGCGAAAGUUAGUUGUUGCCUAAAAUGCAAUUUUAAUAUGAAAUUUUAUUCAUAAUUUAUGGCUUGGAUGAUAUCUAUUGUGCUUUGAUGACCUUAGUCCCUAAAUGCAAUUUUGCAAAUGCAAAAUGGAUUGUGACUUGUGUUGGAUUACCCUACUAGUAAAGGUUUCAAAGGAAUUCUGUAAGGAAGGAUCGGUGUAUGUGGCCAGGGACUGGUAAUGGCAAUUUUACUGUCGCAAGUGCUUAUCGAUUACCACAAUCUGAUGUAGAUAAUGACAGUUUGCAUGUUCAUCGUAAGCAUGUGUGGAAGCUAGAAAUUCAUCAAAGAGUAAGGUUGAAUCUAUUCUACAUGUGAUGAGAGAUUUCCCUUUAGCAAUGGUUCUUUGGAUGCAUGUGCCUAUGAAUUUAAGGACCGGUUAUUUUAAUAGUAAUUUGCAUCAAUGGAUUGAGCUCAAUCUAAAUUGCAGUAUCGAAGUUGACAAAAUUCAAUCCUCUGCUUAAAAAAAGGUACAAUUUUUUACCAAAUUUUCUCAUUUUUUGAAUAUUCAAGAACAUUCAAUCUUCUGCUUGAGAAAACAUUUGAAUCUUUUACCAAUUUUUCUCAUUUUUUGAAUAUUCAAGAACAUUCAAUCUUUUGGUUGAGAAAAAGUUUGAAUCCUUUUACCCAUUUUUCUCAUUUCUUGAAUAUUCAAGAACAUUUCUAUCUUCUGCUUGAGAAAAAAGUUUGAAUCUUUUACCCAAUUUUCUCAUUUCUUGAAUAUUCAACAACAUUCAAUCUUCUGCUUGGGAAAUUAAAAAAAAAAUAAGAACCUUAAUUAAGCAAAUGUGUGCUAUGUCCGAAACCCUAUUUGGCAUCAAUGUUUUGAAAGUCAAUUUUUUAGAUGCAUAUGUUGUGAUACUGAUUUUUUGUUCAUUCUUGAUAAUUGUAGAAUAUUCAAUCUUCUGCAUGAAAAAAACCCUUAAUUGAGUAAACAUGUUGUGUCCCAAGACCCUAUAUAUUUUGAAAGACAAUUUUUUUGUUUGUUACAUAAUGGAGUUUUGCACAUUUUGGAAUUUUUAUUCCAACAUAUUUGCAUAUUAGCAUUUUGAACUCUGUAUUCAUGAUGCAAAAGUUGGAUGAUGGCUUUCAAUACAAUUUUCAUACGAAAUUGUAAUCAUAUGAUUAAGGGAUAGUAUCUAAUGUCGCUGAGAUGAAAUAUUUUUAUGACCCUAAUAGUGAAAUUGUCGCUGAGAUGAAGGGUGGUGUGGUAUACAUGAGCCCAAAAACGUUGGAUGAUGCCUUCAUGCGAAAGUUAGUUGUUGCCUAAAAUGCAAUUUUAAUAUGAAAUUUUAUUCAUAAUUUAAGGCUUGGAUGGUAUCUAUUGUGCUUUGAUGAUGACCUUAGUCCCUAAAUGCAAUUUUGCAAAUGCAAAAUGGAUUGUGACUUCUGUUGGAUUACCCUACUGGUAUGGGUUUCAAAUGAAUUCUCUAAGGAAGGAUUGUGACUUGCGUUGGAUUACCCUACUGACCAACUCUUUGGAUGUUUGCGUUGUGAUCAAUGGAGGAAACCGUAAUGAGGUUGUAUCAGUCCAUAUUUUGACCGCCAACCUUUUAUGAAAAUUCGAUAAGUGCAGUACACAAUUUGCAAUUGAUGAACCGAAGCACAUGAUCAUUUAGGCAGUCCCAAGACCCUGUUUGGUACCCUACUGGUAAGUGUUUUAAAGGAAUUCUCUAAGGAAGGAACUAGUCAAGUAAAGCAAAGUACAAAAAGGUUAAAUCUUUUCCCCAUUUUUUCUCAUUCUUGAAUAUUAAAGAACUUUCAGUCUUCUGCUUGAGAAAAAAAGUUAGAAUCUUUUAUCCAUUUUUCUCAUUCUUGAAUAUUCAAGAACAUUCAAUCUCUCCUUGAGGAAAAAGUUAGAAUCUUUUACCAUUUUUCUCAUUUUUGAAUAUUCAUGAACAUUUCAAUCUUCUGCUUGAGGAAUUAAAAAAAAUGAACCUUAAUUGAGUAAAUGUGUGCUAUGUCUGACACCCUAUUUGGCAUCAAUGUUUUGAAAGUCAAUUUUUUUGUUUUUGACGAUAAUGGAGUUUUGCACAUUUUUGGAAUUUAUUCCAACAUAUUUGCAUUUUGAACUCUUUAUUCAUAAUGCAAAAGUUGGAUGAUGGCUUUCAAUACAAUCUUCAUACGAAAUUGUAAUCAUAUGAUUUAAGGGAUGAUAUCUAUUGUCGCUGAGAUGAAAUAUUUUUAUGACCCUAGUUGUGAAACUUUCGCCGAUCCCACUAUUUCGAGAAAAAGACGAAUAUACUUUGUGCCAUGAUUUUUGUUAGGGAUUGUCUUGAUAGCCCAAAAAUGUUGGAUGAUGCCUUAAUGCGAAAGCUAGUUAGUUGUUGCCUAAAAUGCAAUUUUAAUAUGAAAUUUUAUUCAUAAUUUAAGGCUUGGAUGGUAUCUAUUGUGCUUUGAUGACCUUAGUCCCUAAUUGCAAUUUUGCAAAUUCAAAAUGGAUUGUGACUUGUGUUGGAUUACCCUACUGAUAAGGGUUUCAAAGGAAUUCUCUAAGGAAGGAUCGGUGUAUGUGGCCAGGGAAUGAUAAUGGCAAUUUUACUGUCGCAAGUGCUUAUCAUUUACUACAAUCUGAUGUAGAUAAUGAGAGUAUGCAUGUUCACUGUAAGCAUGUGUGGAAGGCAGAAAUUCAUCAAAGAGUAAGGUGCUUCAUUUGGUUAAAGUGUCAUGGCAAAUUAUUAAUUAAUCAAUCGAAGCAUAAACUGAAAUUAGGAGAACCUUACUGUCAUAAAUGUGCGCUACAGGUUGAAUCUAUUCUACAUGUGAUGAGAGAUUUCCCUUUGGCAAUGGUUCUUUGGAUGCAUGUGCCUAUGAAUUUAAGGACUGGUUUUUUUAAUAGUAAUUUGCAUGAAUGGAUUGAGCUCAAUCUAAAUUGCAGUACCAAAGUUGACAACAUUAUCAAAGUGGAAUGCUUUGUUGUCUUUAGCUUGUCACUAUUUGUGGAUGUGGAAUAGAGUUUCAUGAUGAGAAAUUUUGAGCCUCCUGCUCCUUGGUUGCACAUUCGUAAGUUAGCCGAAGAGUUAAAAAAUUCCGCUAUCUUAAAUAACAGAAGUAGAGGUCAGGUUCAGGUAUGGUGGAUUCCUCCUUCGAUGGUUGGGUCAUGCUUUACACUGACAGGGCAAGUAAGUAUAGUGGUAGUGCUGGUUGUGGAGGUCUGAUACACGGAACUGAUGGCGAAUGGCUUGGUGGAUAAUCUAAAAAUAUUGGUAUUUGCAAUGCUUUUGUAGCCAAGUUGUGGGGUAUUGUGGAAGGUUUGAGACUAGCGAAAGCUAAAGGAUCCAGUAAUAUUGAGUUGUGUGUUGAUUUGGAAGCAGUUAUUUAUAUACCCAUUUUUUUCAAUCUUCUGCUUAAAAAAAGGGAUUGUCUUGUUGGCCCAAAAACGUUGGAUGAUGUCUUAAUGCAAAAGCUACUUGUUGCCUAAAAUGCAAUUUUAAUAUGAAAUUUUAUUCAUAAUUUAAGGCUUGGAUGGUAUUAUUAGUCCCUAAAUGCGAAAACGUUGGAUGAUGCCUUAAUGCGAAAGCUAGUUUUUGCCGAAAAUGCAAUUUUAAUAUUAAUUUUUUUUUCAUAAUUUAAGGCUUGGAUGUUAUCUGUUGUGCUUUGAUGACCUUAGUCCCUAAAUGCAAUUUUGCAAAUGCAAAAUUGAAUGUGACUUGUGUUGGAUAACCCUUACUGGUUAACUGAAGCAAGACCAACUCUUUGGAUGCUUGCAUUGUGAUCAAUGGAGGAAACCAUAAUGAGAUUGUAUCAGUCCAUAUUUUGACUGCAGACUUUUUAUUAAAAUUCGAUAAAAUUUGGUGGGUGCUGGUUUAAGAAUCAGAUGAUAACACUAGAUCUGUGUUGACAAUUAUAAAUGCAAAUCUUUGAUUUACUAAUUGAAUACAUGUGAUCUCUUAUAAGUGCGGUACAAAAAUUGCAAUUGAUGAACUGAAUCACUUGAUCAUGUAGGCAGUUCACCCUAUUGGUUAUGUAAGCAUGUAAACUUGUUGCAAUGACAGAUUACAGUUCUUUCAGACAAACUUGUUGGGAUGGUAGAUAUAUCAGAUGUUAUUUUGGAAUCUUACUUUAUUAGCUUAAGGUUGCUUUGCUAAAUUUUGUCACAUCAUGAAAGUUCUUGGAAUUGUUUUGUAGUUAUUGCAUAAUUACUGGAAAAACUCGCAUUCUUUUUUUUGG